AGAGUUUGAUCAUGGCUCAGAUUGAACGCUGGCGGCAGGCCUAACACAUGCAAGUCGAGCGGUAACAGGAGUGCUUGCACUCGCUGACGAGCGGCGGACGGGUGAGUAAUGCCUAAGAAUCUGCCUAGUGGUGGGGGAUAGCCCGGGGAAACUCGGAUUAAUACCGCAUACGCCCUACGGGGGAAAGCAGGGGAUCUUCGGACCUUGCGCUAUUGGAUGUGCCUAUGUCGGAUUAGCUAGUUGGUGGGGUAAAGGCCUACCAAGGCGACGAUCCGUAGCUGGUCUGAGAGGAUGAUCAGCCACAUCGGGACUGAGACACGGCCCGAACUCCUACGGGAGGCAGCAGUGGGGAAUAUUGGACAAUGGGGGCAACCCUGAUCCAGCCAUGCCGCGUGUGUGAAGAAGGCUUUCGGGUUGUAAAGCACUUUCAGUGAGGAGGAAAAGUUGGUCGUUAAUACCGGCCAGCCUUGACGUUACUCACAGAAGAAGCACCGGCUAACUCCGUGCCAGCAGCCGCGGUAAUUC
rnacentral:rRNA from 1 species